GAAGUUGGGGGAGGGGAGAUACCAUGAUCAGGAAGGCAGUUUUCCCAGGAGGAGGCUUAUCCAUUGCUGUCCAAUGUGCUGACCCCUGUGAUUUCCCCAAAUGCGGGAAACUCCACUGCAUAAUUUGUGGUAGUGGGGGACUGUGUUAGCGCUCACCCCUG